rnacentral:lncRNA from 1 species
GCCAAGUUGUCUGGUGUUAAAUAAAUCCCCAAUGGCUGCUUGCUGAGCCAAGGAAAUGUCAUGCUAGGCUGGCUGAGAUAAAAUGUUUAUUGGGAUCCCUCCCUCAUCCACUACCACCCCACUCUGCUAGCUGACCCCUAAACACCAUCCAUGAGGUUCCAAAGCCAAGUAAUCAUGGCUGUCCACUAGAACUGUUGAUUUGCUUUCUCAUUUCCAAGAUUUCUGAUCAGGGCUUGGUUAUGUUUUAGUCAGAUCUGAACGCCAUAACGGCUACAAACAUAAUCCGAAUAUCCAGCAUGCUUUAUUUAAAAAUGCAGGGAAUUUCUGGAGUCAAGACAGUAUCUUGGUGAACUCUAACAUAGAGCUGUCAGAGAGAAAAGAAGAUGCUCUGUUCAAGAGUGAUUCACAUGAUAUCUGCCAUAAAGCAGCCUCUAUUGAAGAAGAAUAUAAAUAACACAUCCGUGGAGUAAAGGAAGUUUCCACAAACACUUUGAGCAGCAAAGAAAAAUACGCUUUCAGAUAACAAUGCAAAGGCCCAAGACUUAAUUAUUUUUAAAAGCUCUGAAUCGUCUUUGAGCUGCUGCUGAGAUUUAAUCAUCAUUGUAAGCUGCAUGUUUCAUCACUAUUUAUUAUUAAAACGAUUUCUAGCUUCAGUCACUAUUUCAAAUUGCUUUUAACCCAUUGUUGUUCCUGCAAAAUACAAAGGUACACACACAUGCAAUCUAGAGCAAACAUGGUCCCCGGAGAACAAUUACUAAUAUUUUGAAGCUGUUUAAAACAUCAGAAUUUACCUUCACAGUUUGUUAGUAUAGUUUUAUUUUUCUAGCUGUAAAAUCUUAAUGCUGACAGAUUAAGUAUCUCCCCCUGCUUAGUUAAUUAGUAGGACGUAGAGUAAGAUGUUUGAUAUUUGAAGCCAAAAACUUGUGAAUUUUGACUCAGAGGAGUGGCAGUUAUCCAGAAAGUAGCAUAGACAGCAGCUACACUGUAACACUGUCCUUCUGCCAUAGAUUUUGUUUUGUAUUUCUGAUCACUUACGUCAAAAGAAUAUGAAGUAUUUAACUUGGCCCCUUUGUUUGAAUGCAUGUUCAACUUUUAUGGGAGUUUAACUACUAGAUUUAACUACUAGGUUUCCUCAAACUGCUUUCCCUUCACACAUUUACUACUAAUGUUAACAUUAAGGUAUGAAUUCAAAACAUGAAUAAUUGUAGUUUUCUUAAUCUUCUUUUUAUCAGCUGAAGCACUGAUGGGAUACUUCCCUGCUUCUUAACACUACAAGCCAGAUGCACA